UACGGAGGGUGCGAGCGUUGUCCGGAAUCACUGGGCGUAAAGGGCGCGUAGGUGGCCGAGCAAGGUCGCGGUGAAAGCCCGGGGCUCAACCCCGGGAGGCGGAUGGAUACUGCAAGGCUCGAGUACGGAAGAGGCGAGUGGAAUUCCCGGUGUAGCGGUGAAAUGCGCAGAUAUCGGGAGGAACACCUAUGGCGAAGGCAGCUCGCUGGGACGUUACUGACGCUGAGACGCGAAAGCGUGGGGAGCAAACAGG
rnacentral:rRNA from 1 species